UCCCUGCUGGCUCAAUCAGUAAAGAAACUGCCUGCAAUGCAGGAGACCUGGGUUCAAUCCCUGAGUAGGGAA
rnacentral:tRNA from 1 species